AGUGAACGCUGGCGGUAGGCCUAACACAUGCAAGUCGAACGGCAGCACAGGAGAGCUUGCUCUCUGGGUGGCGAGUGGCGGACGGGUGAGGAAUACAUCGGAAUCUACUCUGUCGUGGGGGAUAACGUAGGGAAACUUACGCUAAUACCGCGUACGACCUACGGGUGAAAGCAGGGGAUCUUCGGACCUUGCGCGAUUGAAUGGGCCGAUGUCGGAUGAGCUAGUUGGCGGGGUAAAGGCCCACCAAGGCGACGAUCCGUAGCUGGUCUGAGAGGAUGAUCAGCCACACUGGAACUGAGACACGGUCCAGACUCCUACGGGAGGCAGCAGUGGGGAAUAUUGGACGAUGGGCGCAAGCCUGAUCCAGCCAUACCGCGUGGGUGAAGAAGGCCUUCGGGUUGUAAAGCCCUUUUGUUGGGAAAGAAAUCCAGCUGGCUAAUACCCGGUUGGGAUGACGGUACCCAAAGAAUAGGCACCGGCUAACUUCGUGCCAGCCGCCGCAGUAA
rnacentral:rRNA from 1 species